rnacentral:lncRNA from 1 species
AAACAAGUGCAGACUUCAGUGGUGCGACCUUUCAAAGAUAUCUUUCACAGCGGUGGGUUUAUCAACAUGGUAGCAGUUGAGGAGGAUACUUUUGAGGGAAAGACAGAAGAGAAGGCCCCAGAUUUGUGACACCAGGAGUAGUUAUGAAGAACUGGACCGCAGUUGACAUCCCACAUUGUGUCCACAUAUCAAAGUAAUUAAGCUUUUCAGUUUCAAAAAUCUUCCGUUUAGCCCA